GUCAAUUGUCCAGUCAUUGCAUACCUGUGGAGCAGUUAGAAAAAUCACACAUCAGUCUCAUUGCUCCAAAACAAAUUGUAUGUACUUGAUGCGGGAAACAAUAAUUUGAGAAGAAAAGAAAUAAAGAUAUGAAUAUGUUGAUAAUUCAUCAAUAUAAAUAGGUGCAUUUACAGAAGAAAAUAGCUCCCAACAGUUGGCACCAACUCACUAAAGUAAAAGAGGAAGAGGAAAAACAAGGCAUUAAUGAUUACUUUCUGGAACAAUUCUACCUAAAAUUUGGCACACUUCACACUCAAGGAUAAGAUGCCACUCAAAUUCAAAAUUCAUAUUGAACUUAUGACACUAGCAUUUUCAAAAAUUUACAUAUAAUUACUAUUUUCAUGAUUGCUUUACUUUCUAUAUUUAUCCUGAACGCUCAGUUAAUAUUAGGUUUAUACAUUUUUGUGUUAAAUAUUAUAAAUUCAACAAUGUAAGCACACAAGACCAUAUCUGCCUGUCUAGAAUGGCAGUUUCCACGUCCAAACAUGACUUCAAAUCAAAUUUAUUUGUUCAUUAAAAAUAUUAAUUAACUGAUACAACUUAUAUCAAAUAAGUUGAUGAUAUAAUCCAUCUUGCCCAUGUAGUUCAAAGACAACAUAAUCACUUCAUGCCAAAAGAUACUUGUGCACUAAAUUUCCAUGACCGUGCUUUUUCCUGAUAUUUUACUGCACCUAGUGACCAUUUGGCAUUAACAUAUAUGUGCACAACUGCACAUACAUAAAAUAAAUUAAAACAAAAUAACUGCCAACCAUGAUCAUGCAAAUAAAAAAGAGAACUCUCAAGAGUGACAAUGACCAAAUAAACUGAAGAAGUGUUUCAGAAGCAUUACUCCGGAGCAUGAUAACCAAAG
rnacentral:misc_RNA from 1 species